UGAGAGGCAUCUCUUGAAUAUCAAAGGUGAGCCAGUACAGGAUGGACCCGCGUCUGAUUAGCUAGUUGGUAAGGUAACGGCUUACCAAGGCGACGAUCAGUAGCCGACCUGAGAGGGUGAUCGGCCACAUUGGAACUGAGACACGGUCCAAACUCCUACGGGAGGCAGCAGUGGGGAAUAUUGCACAAUGGGCGAAAGCCUGAUGCAGCAACGCCGCGUGAGUGAUGAAGGCCUUCGGGUCGUAAAACUCUGUCCUCAAGGAAGAUAAUGACGGUACUUGAGGAGGAAGCCCCGGCUAACUACGUGCCAGCAGCCGCGGUAAUACGUAGGGGGCUAGCGUUAUCCGGAUUUACUGGGCGUAAAGGGUGCGUAGGCGGUCUUUCAAGUCAGGAGUGAAAGGCUACGGCUCAACCGUAGUAAGCUCUUGAAACUGGGAGACUUGAGUGCAGGAGAGGAGAGUGGAAUUCCUAGUGUAGCGGUGAAAUGCGUAGAUAUUAGGAGGAACACCAGUUGCGAAGGCGGCUCUCUGGACUGUAACUGACGCUGAGGCACGAAAGCGUGGGGAGCAAACAGGAUUAGAUACCCUGGUAGUCCACGCUGUAAACGAUGAGUAC
rnacentral:rRNA from 1 species